ACGUUUAAGACUAAGACGUUGAUAGGCUGGGUGUGUAAGCGUAGCGAUACGUUGAGCUAACCAGUACUAAUGAUCCGUGAGGCUUAACCUU
rnacentral:rRNA from 1 species